rnacentral:snRNA from 1 species
AUGUUCUUUCAGCAAUAUAUACAUUAAAUUGGAAUACUAAAGAGAAGCUGAGCAUGGCCCCUGCAUAAGGGUGGCACACAGAAACUACAACAAGUUAAAAUAGAA